CCCUUAGAUGUUCUGGGCCGCACGCGCGCUACACUGAUGCAUUCAACGAGUCUAAAACCUGGUCUGAUAGGGCUGGGUAAUCUUUUGAAAGUGCAUCGUGAUUGGGAUAGAUGAUUGCAAUUCUUCAUCUUCAACGAGGAAUGCCUAGUAAACGCAAGUCAUCAGCUUGCAUUGAUUACGUCCCUGCCCUUUGUACACACCGCCCGUCGCUCCUACCGAUUGAGUGUGUUGGUGAGGAGUUUGGAUUGGCCUCGGAAGGUGGUUCGCCACCGUCCGUAGCUGAGAAGUUCUCCAAACCGCCCCACUUAGAGGAAGGAGAAGUCGUAACA
rnacentral:rRNA from 1 species